rnacentral:misc_RNA from 1 species
GUGAAUCAUCAAAUCUUUGAACGCAAAUUGCACUCUCUCCAGAGAGUAUGCCUGUUUGAGGGUCAGUAUUAAUAAAAAUCGGUGUGUUGCUUCUUUGUGACGCUCCGGAGUUUGGGUCAUCUUAAUAUCCUUUAGGUUUUAAGAGGCUUAAAAUUGACUUUUUUUGCGCAUUUUAGAUGUACAUAAAUUCUUUUUUUUAUUCGUCUGUCUUAAUGCUCAAAAUCCUAUUAGAUGCGACCAUAUCGUGUGGUGUCUUGUUGUUAAAUAUAUAAUGUGU